AUUGAACGCUGGCGGAAUGCUUUACACAUGCAAGUCGAGCGGCAGCGCGGGGCAACCUGGCGGCGAGCGGCGAACGGGUGAGUAAUACAUCGGAACGUACCCUGUUGUGGGGGAUAGCGAAUCGAAAGAUUCGCUAAUACCGCAUACGACCUGAGGGUGAAAGUGGGGGAUCGCAAGACCUCACGCGAUAGGAGCGGCCGAUGUCGGAUUAGCUAGUUGGUGGGGUAAAGGAUCACCAAGGCGACGAUCCGUGGCGGGUCUGAGAGGACGGCCCGCCACACUGGAACUGAGACGCGGUCCAGACUCCUACGGGAGGCAGCAGUGGGGAAUUUUGGACAAUGGGGGCAACCCUGAUCCAGCCAUUCCGCGUGAGUGAAGAGGGCCUUCGGGUUGUAAAGCUCUUUCGGCAGGAACGAAACGGUCCUAGUUAAUACCUGGGGCUAAUGACGGUACCUGAAGAAGAAGCACCGGCUAACUACGUGCCAGCCGCCGCCGUAA
rnacentral:rRNA from 1 species